GAUGAACGCUAGCGGCAGGCUUAAUACAUGCAAGUCGAGGGGCAGUCGGGAGUAGCAAUACUUGCCGGCGACCGGCGCACGGGUGCGUAACACGUAUGUAAUCUGGCCCAUCACAGGAGGAUAGCCCGGAGAAAUUCGGAUUUAAUACUCCAUAAUAGAAGAUAAAGCAUUUUAUUUCUUGAAAGUUCCGACGGUGAUGGAUGAACAUGCGACUGAUUAGUUUGUUGGUGAGGUAACGGCACACCAAGACUACGAUCAGUAGGGGUACUGAGAGGUUAAACCCCCANACUGGUACUGAGACACGGACCAGACUCCUACGGGAGGCAGCAGUAAGGAAUAUUGGACAAUGGCCGCACGGCUGAUCCAGCCAUGCCGCGUGCAGGAAGACGGACCUAUGGUUUGUAAACUGCUUUUGAACGGGUAGAAACCCCCUACGUGUAGGGGGCUGAUAGUACUGUUAGAAUAAGCAUCGGCUAACUCGUGCCAGCAGCCGC
rnacentral:rRNA from 1 species